rnacentral:rRNA from 1 species
AGUGAACGCUGGCGGUAGGCCUAACACAUGCAAGUCGAACGGCAGCACAGUAAGAGCUUGCUCUUACGGGUGGCGAGUGGCGGACGGGUGAGGAAUACAUCGGGAUCUACUUUUUCGUGGGGGAUAACGUAGGGAAACUUACGCUAAUACCGCGUACGACCUACGGGUGAAAGCAGGGGAUCUUCGGACCUUGCGCGAUUGAAUGAGCCGAUGUCGGAUUAGCUAGUUGGCGGGGUAAAGGCCCACCAAGGCGACGAUCCGUAGCUGGUCUGAGAGGAUGAUCAGCCACACUGGAACUGAGACACGGUCCAGACUCCUACGGGAGGCAGCAGUGGGGAAUAUUGGACAAUGGGCGCAAGCCUGAUCCAGCCAUACCGCGUGGGUGAAGAAGGCCUUCGGGUUGUAAAGCCCUUUUGUUGGGAAAGAAAAGCAGCAGGUUAAUACCCCGCUGUUCUGACGGUACCCAAAGAAUAAGCACCGGCUAACUUCGUG